UGGGGAAUAUUGGACAAUGGGCGGAAGCCUGAUCCAGCAACGCCGCGUGAGGGAUGACGGCCUUCGGGUUGUAAACCUCUUUCAGUACCGACGAAGCGAAAGUGACGGUAGGUACAGAAGAAGGACCGGCCAACUACGUGCCAGCAGCCGCGGUAAUACGUAGGGUCCGAGCGUUGUCCGGAAUUAUUGGGCGUAAAGGGCUCGUAGGCGGUUUGUCGCGUCGGGAGUGAAAACAGCGGGCUUAACUCGUUGCUUGCUUUCGAUACGGGGCAGACUAAGAGGUAUGCAGGGGGAGAAUUGGAAUUCCCUGGUGUAGCGGUGAAAUGCGCAGAUAUCAGGAGGAACACCGGUGGCGAAGGCGGUUCUCUGGGCAUUACCUGACGCUGA
rnacentral:rRNA from 1 species